rnacentral:rRNA from 1 species
AUUGAACGCUGGCGGCAGGCUUAACACACGCAAGUCGAGCGGAGAUGAGGUGCUUGCACCUUAUCUUAGCGGCGGACGGGUGAGUAAUGCUUAGGAAUCUGCCUAUUAGUGGGGGACAACAUUCCGAAAGGAAUGCUAAUACCGCAUACGCCCUACGGGGGAAAGCAGGGGAUCUUCGGACCUUGCGCUAAUAGAUGAGCCUAAGUCGGAUUAGCUAGUUGGUGGGGUAAAGGCCUACCAAGGCGACGAUCUGUAGCGGGUCUGGGAGGAUGAGCCGCCACACUGGGACUGAGACACGGCCCAGACUCCUACGGGAGGGAGCAGUGGGGAAUAUUGGACAAUGGGCGGAAGCCUGAUCCAGCCAGGCCGCGUGUGUGAAGAAGGCCUUUUGGUUGUAAAGCACUUUAAGCGAGGAGGAGGCUACUUAGAUUAAUACUCUAGGAUAGUGGACGUUACUCGCAGAAUAAGCACCGGCUAACUCUGUGCCAGCAGCCGCGGUAACAC